rnacentral:rRNA from 1 species
AGUUUGAUCCUGGCUCAGGAUGAACGCUGGCGGCGUGCUUAACACAUGCAAGUCGAACGGGAAUUACUUUAUUGAAACUUCGGUCGAUUUAAUUUAAUUCUAGUGGCGGACGGGUGAGUAACGCGUGGGUAACCUGCCUUGUACAGGGGGAUAACAGUCAGAAAUGACUGCUAAUACCGCAUAAGCGCACAGGACCGCAUGGUCCGGUGUGAAAAACUCCGGUGGUAUAAGAUGGACCCGCGUUGGAUUAGCUGGUUGGUGAGGUAACGGCCCACCAAGGCGACGAUCCAUAGCCGGCCUGAGAGGGUGAACGGCCACAUUGGGACUGAGACACGGCCCAGACUCCUACGGGAGGCAGCAGUGGGGAAUAUUGCACAAUGGGGGAAACCCUGAUGCAGCGACGCCGCGUGAAGGAAGAAGUAUCUCGGUAUGUAAACUUCUAUCAGCAGGGAAGAAUUAGGACGGUACCUGACUAAGAAGCCCCGGCUAACUACGUGCCAGCAGCCGCGGUAAUACGUAGGGGGCAAGCGUUAUCCGGAUUUACUGGGUGUAAAGGGAGCGUAGACGGAUGGACAAGUCUGAUGUGAAAGGCUGGGGCUCAACCCCGGGACUGCAUUGGAAACUGCCCGUCUUGAGUGCCGGAGAGGUAAGCGGAAUUCCUAGUGUAGCGGUGAAAUGCGUAGAUAUGAGGAGGAACACCAGUGGCGAAGGCGGCUUACUGGACGGUAACUGACGUUGAGGCUCGAAAGUGCGGGUAUCGAACAGGAUUAGAUACCCUGGUAGUCCGCACGGUAAACGAUGGAUGCUCGCUGUGUGCAUUCGUGUAUGCGGCCAAGGGAAACCAUUAAGCAUCCCACCUGGGGAGUACGCCGGCAACGGUGAAACUCAAAGGAAUUGACGGGCACCCGCACAAGCGGUGGAGCAUGCUGUUUAAUUCGACAAUACGCGAAGAACCUUACCUAGACUUGACAUCCCCGGCAAAGCUAUAGAAAUAUAGUGGAGGUUACCCGGGUGACAGAUGGUGCAUGGUUGUCGUCAGCUCGUGUCGUGAGAUGUUUGGUUAAGUCCAACAACGAGCGCAACCCUCGUCUUAAGUUACUAACAUUAAGUUGAGCACUCUUAAGAUACUGCCAGUGCAAGCUGGAGGAAGGUGAGGAUGACGUCAAAUCAUCAUGCCUCUUACGUCUAGGGCUACAGGCGUGCUACAAUGGCCGAUACAACGAGAAGCAAUACGGCGACGUAAAGCAAAACUCUAAAAGUCGGUCCCAGUUCGGAUUGGAGUCUGCAACUCGACUCCAUGAAGUUGGAAUCGCUAGUAAUCCCGACUCAGAAUGUCGGGGUGAAUACGUUCCCGGG